rnacentral:rRNA from 1 species
UACGUAGGAUGCGAGCGUUGUUCGGAAUUAUUGGGCGUAAAGCGUAUGUAGGCGGUUUAGUAAGUCUGCCAUUAAAGACCGGAGCUUAACUUCGGGGUUGUGGCGGAUACUGCUAGACUAGAGGGUAGUAAAGGAAGUCGGAAUUCUCAGUGUAGCGGUGAAAUGCGUAGAUAUUGGGAAGAACACCGGUGGCGAAAGCGGACUUCUAGGCUAUUACUGACGCUCAGAUACGAAAGCGUGGGUAGCAAACAGG